rnacentral:rRNA from 1 species
CAAGGGUUUGGCUGUUCGCCAAUUAAAGCGGUACGUGAGCUGGGUUUAGAACGUCGUGAGACAGUUCGGUCCCUAUCUGUUGCGGGCGUAGGAUACUUGCGGGACUCUGCUCUUAGUACGAGAGGACCGGAGUGGACAGACCUCUGGUGUACCAGUUGUUCCGCCAGGAGCACCGCUGGGUAGCCAUGUCUGGUGAGGAUAAGCGCUGAAAGCAUCUAAGCGCGAAACCCUGCCCAAGAUGAGGUAUCCCAUCCCUCCUCGAGAGGGUCUGAAGGCGCCUUCGAGAUGAGAAGGUUGAUAGGCGGUAGGUGUAAGUGCAGCAAUGCAUUUAGCCGAACCGUACUAAUCCGCCGUGCGGCUUGACUUACCCUUUUUUCU